rnacentral:rRNA from 1 species
GAUGAACGCUGGCGGCGUGCCUAAUACAUGCAAGUCGAGCGAACAGAUAAGGAGCUUGCUCCUUUGACGUUAGCGGCGGACGGGUGAGUAACACGUGGGUAACCUACCUAUAAGACUGGGAUAACUCCGGGAAACCGGGGCUAAUGCCGGAUAACAUUUAGAACCGCAUGGUUCUAAAGUGAAAGAUGGUUUUGCUGUCACUUAUAGAUGGACCCGCGCCGUAUUAGCUAGUUGGUAAGGUAACGGCUUACCAAGGCAACGAUACGUAGCCGACCUGAGAGGGUGAUCGGCCACACUGGAACUGAGACACGGUCCAGACUCCUACGGGAGGCAGCAGUAGGGAAUCUUCCGCAAUGGGCGAAAGCCUGACGGAGCAACGCCGCGUGAGUGAUGAAGGUCUUCGGAUCGUAAAACUCUGUUAUUAGGGAAGAACAAAUGUGUAAGUAACUGUGCACGUCUUGACGGUACCUAAUCAGAAAGCCACGGCUAACUACGUG